rnacentral:misc_RNA from 1 species
UGGCUCCGGCAUCGAUGAAGAACGCAGCGAAAUGCGAUAAGUAAUGCGAAUUGCAGAAUCCAGCGAGCCAUCGAAUCUUUGAACGCACAUUGCGCCCGCCAGCACUCUGGCGGGCAUGCCUGUCCGAGCGUGGCUCACACCCGUCAGCGUGGCUGUGUUGGGGCCCGGCGGCGACGCCGGCCCCGAAAGAUAGUGGCGGGACCGCCGUCGCGCCGAGCGUAGCAGCGUACAUCGCUCCGGCGCGGGGGGGGCCUCCGGCCUUUGGGGGGGACCGAACUCGACGACCACCUCGGAUCAGGCAGGGAUACCCGCUGA